GCGGAUGACGGAGGAGCUUGCUCCUCUAGAUUCAGCGGCGGACGGGUGAGUAACACGUGGGCAACCUGCCCUGUAGAUUGGGAUAACUCCGGGAAACCGGGGCUAAUACCGAAUAAUCCUUCGGACCUCAUGGUCCGAUGUUGAAAGGCGGCUUCGGCUGUCCCUACCGGAUGGGCCCGCGGCGCAUUAACUAGUUGGUGAGGUAACGGCUCCCCCAGGGCACGAUGCGUAACCCAACUGAAAGGGUGAUCGGCCCCACUGGGACUGAA
rnacentral:rRNA from 1 species